ACGGGAGGCAGCAGUAGGGAAUAUUGCACAAUGGGGGAAACCCUGAUGCAGCAAUGCCACGUGUGGGAAGAAGCAUUUCGGUGUGUAAACCACUGUCGUGAAGGAAUAAGGCUUAUUUUCGGAUAAGUUGAAUGUACUUUGAAAGGAAGCACCGGCAAACUUCGUGCCAGCAGCCGCGGUAAUACGAGGGGUGCAAGCGUUGUUCGGAAUCACUGGGCGUAAAGGGAGCGCAGGCGGAGAUGCAAGCAGUCUGUACAAUACCGGGGCCCAACCCCGGACCUGCAGACCGGACUGCAUUUCUUGGAUAGUUCAGGGGCAAGCGGAAUUCCUGGUGUAGCGGUGGAAUGCGUAGAGAUCAGGAAGAACACCGAUGGCGAAGGCAGCUUGCUGGGGACUUAUCGACGCUCAUGCUCGAAAGUGCGGGUAGCAAACAGGAUUAGAUACCCUGGUA
rnacentral:rRNA from 1 species